GAGGUAACAGACUGUUUCAUCGAUUGCGUUCACAGUCGCCACUUGGCAUCCGCCGAAACCUUAUGGAAAUGGUAGCAAAUAUUACGGGAGUUUUCUUUUCUCAAAUUGAAGCCCGUCGCCUCUGUGAAGUACGACUAGUCACAAAGUGUUUGGGCAGAAGUGAUAUUGAAAUCUGGCCCCCUCUUCAAGGUGGAAACGGCAUCAGAAAUUUCUGUGACAUUAUGGACAGUAGUCAGCAACAGCAUUCAGACCGUUUGCACCAAGCUCAACACCAGCUGCAAUUUACAGGGCAGCCAAAGGACCUUCAGGAGAAGAGACAAGUAAAAUGGGGCAAACAAACACCAAAGUGUCAUCCUGUUGAAGCACAUCAUCACAAAAUCCCUCGACCACCAAAGCCUUCAUGCUUUUCUCUAAUGAAUGGAGAAAGAAAAUGGCUCUCCAGUAUCCAGAAGACAGUAACAAACAGAUCAGUGUGAGAUUACGUCUACAACCCCGAGGAGGCCCGAAAAUAGAAGCGUCUAGAGACCAGGCCCGCGAGAUGAAAUUGCAGCGAUCAAGAUGUCAGUCAGCGAAGCAACGCCUCACCACCGCGCGGGCCAGCAGUAAAAUAAAAAAAUCUUCAUAAACUUUAUUUCUGUUGUUUUGGCAAAGUAAUAUUUGAACUUGUCGCAUUCAGUACACUAGUGGUUAAUGUGCUCAACACUGGACCCAAGGUCAAGAGAUUUUUAAGGGGUGAUAAAAAUCUAUAUCACAACCUCCUUCAGAGAGGCGCGUAAAAGAACCUAACGAGCAUGAGCGACAUGUAUUGUAACCAAAAUUCGGCUGCCAUUUCUCAUCCAUGUAUCUCUUGAUUCACUACUAGAUGGUUCUAGCAGACAAAAGUCAGGACCGAGUAGAAAUUGUGCAGAGGCAGUGGGCUAGUCACUCACUACUCACAAAUGCACACUUCAAAAAGACCAGUAGAGAGAGUUUUAACUUGAUAUUGCAAUACAUGAGUAUGUGUACUGAAACCUUUAGCAAUAAUAUACUGGUGUAGGAGAACAUUUUUUAUUUCAACAUUCUCAAGAUAAUAAAUGAUCGCUGCUACUUACGCUAAACGACUGAAAUGUCGGACUCUGAAUGUAUGUCCUAGUAGGAGAUCCAAAACAACCCAAAUGUCUCAAAAUUGUAGUAACUUUUUGUUUAAUUUUUCCCACAGUUUAACAACACAUCCCUUCACAUUUGUCCUAUUACCAGUCAUGUUUCCUUCUAUUCGGGAUUUGAGGUUUUGAUGAUGCAAACAAUUUUUACUUUUUCUUUUAUCAUACAAGUAUGAAAACCUAGCUCAGUUUUUGCUAACUUCUCAUUGGAGGCAGUGCAUUCUAAACUUGUAAUACUUUUCAGAGUGAAACAGUGUGUACACAUGUAAACAAUUAGUUCUAUUUAAUGACCGUAAUAAAACAAUAAUUAUCUUACUUGCCACUAUGAACGCCAAGAUCUAAAUUGACAACACUAAUAAAUAUUUCACUUACA